AUUGAACGCUGGCGGAAUGCUUUACACAUGCAAGUCGAACGGCAGCACGGACUUCGGUCUGGUGGCGAGUGGCGAACGGGUGAGUAAUGUAUCGGAACGUGCCCAGUCGUGGGGGAUAACGUAGUGAAAAUUACGCUAAUACCGCAUACGAUCUAUGGAUGAAAGCGGGGGAUCGCAAGACCUCGCGCGAUUGGAGCGGCCGAUAUCCGAUUAGGUAGUUGGUGGGGUAAAGGCCCACCAAGCCAACGAUCUGUAGCUGGUCUGAGAGGACGACCAGCCGCACUGGAACUGAGACACGGUCCAGACUCCUACGGGAGGCAGCAGUGGGGAAUUUUGGACAAUGGGCGAAAGCCUGAUCCAGCCAUUCCGCGUGCAGGAUGAAGGCCUCGGGUUGUAAACUGCUUUUGUACAGAACGAAAAGGUUUCUACUAAUACUAGGAGCUCAUGACGGUACUGUAAGAAUAAGCACCGGCUAACUACGUGCCAGCAGCCGCAGUAA
rnacentral:rRNA from 1 species